CGGGACACGUGGUAUCCUGUCUGAAUAUGGGGGGACCAUCCUCCAAGGCUAAAUACUCCUGACUGACCGAUAGUGAACCAGUACCGUGAGGGAAAGGCGAAAAGAACCCCGGCGAGGGGAGUGAAAAAGAACCUGAAACCGUGUACGUACAAGCAGUGGGAGCACGCUUAGGCGUGUGACUGCGUACCUUUUGUAUAAUGGGUCAGCGACUUAUAUUCUGUAGCAAGGUUAACCGAAUAGGGGAGCCGAAGGGAAACCGAGUCUUAACUGGGCGUUAAGUUGCAGGGUAUAGACCCGAAACCCGGUGAUCUAGCCAUGGGCAGGUUGAAGGUUGGGUAACACUAACUGGAGGACCGAACCGACUAAUGUUGAAAAAUUAGCGGAUGACUUGUGGCUGGGGGUGAAAGGCCAAUCAAACCGGGAGAUAGCUGGUUCUCCCCGAAAGCUAUUUAGGUAGCGCCUCGUGAAUUCAUCUCCGGGGGUAGAGCACUGUUUCGGCAAGGGGGUCAUCCCGACUUACCAACCCGAUGCAAACUGCGAAUACCGGAGAAUGUUAUCACGGGAGACACACGGCGGGUGCUAACGUCCGUCGUGAAGAGGGAAACAACCCAGACCGCCAGCUAAGGUCCCAAAGUCAUGGUUAAGUGGGAAACGAUGUGGGAAGGCCCAGACAGCCAGGAUGUUGGCUUAGAAGCAGCCAUCAUUUAAAGAAAGCGUAAUAGCUCACUGGUCGAGUCGGCCUGCGCGGAAGAUGUAACGGGGCUAAACCAUGCACCGAAGCUGCGGCAGCGACGCUGAUGCGUUGUUGGGUAGGGGAGCGUUCUGUAAGCCUGUGAAGGUGUGCUGUGAGGCAUGCUGGAGGUAUCAGAAGUGCGAAUGCUGACAUAAGUAACGAUAAAGCGGGUGAAAAGCCCGCUCGCCGGAAGACCAAGGGUUCCUGUCCAACGUUAAUCGGGGCAGGGUGAGUCGACCCCUAAGGCGAGGCCGAAAGGCGUAGUCGAUGGGAAACAGGUUAAUAUUCCUGUACUUGGUGUUACUGCGAAGGGGGGACGGAGAAGGCUAUGUUGGCCGGGCGACGGUUGUCCCGGUUUAAGCGUGUAGGCUGGUUUUCCAGGCAAAUCCGGAAAAUCAAGGCUGAGGCGUGAUGACGAGGCACUACGGUGCUGAAGCAACAAAUGCCCUGCUUCCAGGAAAAGCCUCUAAGCAUCAGGUAACAUCAAAUCGUACCCCAAACCGACACAGGUGGUCAGGUAGAGAAUACCAAGGCGCUUGAGAGAACUCGGGUGAAGGAACUAGGCAAAAUGGUGCCGUAACUUCGGGAGAAGGCACGCUGAUAUGUAGGUGAAGCGACUUGCUCGUGGAGCUGAAAUCAGUCGAAGAUACCAGCUGGCUGCAACUGUUUAUUAAAAACACAGCACUGUGCAAACACGAAAGUGGACGUAUACGGUGUGACGCCUGCCCGGUGCCGGAAGGUUAAUUGAUGGGGUCAGCGCAAGCGAAGCUCUUGAUCGAAGCCCCGGUAAACGGCGGCCGUAACUAUAACGGUCCUAAGGUAGCGAAAUUCCUUGUCGGGUAAGUUCCGACCUGCACGAAUGGCGUAAUGAUGGCCAGGCUGUCUCCACCCGAGACUCAGUGAAAUUGAACUCGCUGUGAAGAUGCAGUGUACCCGCGGCAAGACGGAAAGACCCCGUGAACCUUUACUAUAGCUUGACACUGAACAUUGAGCCUUGAUGUGUAGGAUAGGUGGGAGGCUUUGAAGUGUGGACGCCAGUCUGCAUGGAGCCGGCCUUGAAAUACCACCCUUUAAUGUUUGAUGUUCUAACGUUGACCCGUGAUCCGGGUUGCGGACAGUGUCUGGUGGGUAGUUUGACUGGGGCGGUCUCCUCCUAAAGAGUAACGGAGGAGCACGAAGGUUGGCUAAUCCUGGUCGGACAUCAGGAGGUUAGUGCAAUGGCAUAAGCCAGCUUGACUGCGAGCGUGACGGCGCGAGCAGGUGCGAAAGCAGGUCAUAGUGAUCCGGUGGUUCUGAAUGGAAGGGCCAUCGCUCAACGGAUAAAAGGUACUCCGGGGAUAACAGGCUGAUACCGCCCAAGAGUUCAUAUCGACGGCGGUGUUUGGCACCUCGAUGUCGGCUCAUCACAUCCUGGGGCUGAAGUAGGUCCCAAGGGUAUGGCUGUUCGCCAUUUAAAGUGGUACGCGAGCUGGGUU
rnacentral:rRNA from 1 species